GCCACCGAAAGGUGGUCUAAUACUUCAUAAUAUCCAUCUCGUAUGGAUUAAAGCUUUAUGCGCUUUGGGAGGGGCCUGCGUAACAUUAGCUUGUUGGUGAGGUAAAAGCUCACCAAGGCUUCGAUGUUUAACUGGUUUGAGAGGAUGACCAGUCACACUGGACUGAGAUACGGCCCAGACUCCUACGGGAGGCAGCAGUAAGGAAUCUUCCACAAUGGGGCAACCCUGAUGGAGCAAUACCGCGUGCAGGAUGAAGCGUUUCGGCGUGUAAACUGCUUUUAUCACCGAAGAUUAUGACUGUAGGUGAAGAAUAAGGACCGGCUAACUACGUG
rnacentral:rRNA from 1 species